rnacentral:rRNA from 1 species
UACGUAGGGUGCAAGCGUUAAUCGGAAUUACUGGGCGUAAAGCGUGCGCAGGCGGUUUUGUAAGUCUGUCGUGAAAUCCCCGGGCUCAACCUGGGAAUUGCGAUGGAGACUGCAAGGCUAGAAUCUGGCAGAGGGGGGGUAGAAUUCCACGUGUAGCAGUGAAAUGCGUAGAGAUGUGGAGGAAUACCGGUGGCGAAGGCGGCGACCUGGUCCUUGACUGACGCUGAGGCGCGAAAGCGUGGGGAGCAAACAGG